GACGAACGCUGGCGGCGUGCUUAACACAUGCAAGUCGAACGGAAAGGCCCUGCUUUUGUGGGGUGCUCGAGUGGCGAACGGGUGAGUAACACGUGAGUAACCUGCCCUUGACUUUGGGAUAAAUUCAGGAAACUGGGGCUAAUACCGGAUAGGAGCUCCUGCUGCAUGGUGGGGGUUGGAAAGUUUCGGCGGUUGGGGAUGGACUCGCGGCUUAUCAGCUUGUUGGUGGGGUAGUGGCUUACCAAGGCUUUGACGGGUAGCCGGCCUGAGAGGGUGACCGGCCACAUUGGGACUGAGAGACGGCCCAGACUCCUACGGGAGGCAGCAGUCGGGAAUAUUGCACAAUGGGCGGAAGCCUGAUGCAGCAACGCCGCGUGCGGGAUGACGGCCUUCGGGUUGUAAACCGCUUUCGCCUGUGACGAAGCGUGAGUGACGGUAAUGGGUAAAGAAGCACCGGCUAACUACGUG
rnacentral:rRNA from 1 species